rnacentral:lncRNA from 1 species
UCAAACUCAUUCAUCAUGAGAUUCGAGACGAAAACCAAGUUGAUAGGGAAGAAUCUUCAGUGGGGUAGCGGGUGGCCCACCACACAUUGUGUGGAGAUAGGUGGCCCACACACCCCGAGGGUGCGACCGCCUUACUAAAGAUUCUCUUAGUUGAUGGACAUCGUCAUCUUCGUUAAUUCAAUUUCACGCUUUGAACAAAAUGUAUUCAAAAUCUGUUCUUGGACUAAUGGGAUUAAAUCAGCAUUUGACGCUAUUAGCAUUUCGUUCGCUCUUGCACUUUGCGUAGCUACACAACCCUUUCCCAAAAGGAAUUUUGAUGUU